UACGUAGGGGGCUAGCGUUGUCCGGAUUUAUUGGGCGUAAAGAGCGUGUAGGCGGCCAGGUAGGUCUGGUGUGAAAACUCGAGGCUUAACCUCGAGAUGUCAUCGGAAACCAUCUGGCUAGAGUCCGGAAGAGGAGAGUGGAAUUCCUGGUGUAGCGGUGAAAUGCGCAGAUAUCAGGAGGAACACCAAUUGCGAAGGCAGCUCGCUGGGACGUUACUGACGCUGAGACGCGAAAGCGUGGGGAGCAAACAGG
rnacentral:rRNA from 1 species